rnacentral:rRNA from 1 species
CAAUAUCGGAACGUGCCCUGGAGUGGGGGAUAACUAGUCGAAAGACUAGCUAAUACCGCAUACGAUCUACGGAUGAAAGUGGGGGAUCGCAAGACCUCAUGGCUCGUGGAGCGGCCGAUAUCUGAUUAGCUAGUUGGUGGGGUAAAGGCCUACCAAGGCAUCGAUCAGUAGCUGGUCUGAGAGGACGACCAGCCACACUGGGACUGAGACACGGCCCAG